rnacentral:ncRNA from 1 species
GAUAAGUUUAAUUCUUGUUUAUGUUUUCUAUUGUUUGCAAGUAUUCUAUGAGAGUCAUUGCACGUUUAUUUAAAAGUUGAUUUUUAUAUUUAGCUCUCAGUGUAGAAAAUUGGGUUAUUAGCUCGUGCUUAAAUUAGUUAUGCAAAAAAUACAGGUUAAAUUUGUGCCAGCAGCCGCGGUUAGACUGGAAGUGUAAGUGGAAAAGUUUGAGUAAACAGUUAGAGUAUAAUUUAUCUUUAAUUUAGAUUUGUGAGCUAUGGAGUGAAAUCUUUCUUUUAGUAUCGAAGUUUAGAUAAAUCUUUUUUAAAACUGUGAAGAUUUAGGUACAAAAUAGGAUUAGAUACCCUAGUAUGCUUAAUUGGAAAUCGUAAUGCUUGAUUAGUAAAUAGUUAUGUUCUCGAAAUUUAAAGAAUUUGGCGGCUCUUCAGUCCAGUUAGAGGAACCUGUCCUGUAAACGAUAAACCACGAAUUAUCUUACUUUUUCUUGCUUAUUUCAAUUAGUAUACCGUCAUUAUUAGAUCAUCUUUAAAUAGAUUUGUCUAAAUAGGACUUUAUUCCUAGAAUAUUAGAUCAGGGUGCUGUCGAUGAAAAAGAAGAGAUGGGUUACAAUAGCAUUUAGCUAAAUGAAUAAUGAAGCGCAACCUUCAUUUGAAGGUGGAUUUAAUAGUAGAAGUGUGUGUAAGGAGCUACUUCGAUAGUGGUUCUGAAGAGUGUACAAAUCGCCCGUCGCUCUCAUUACCAAGGUGAGAUAAGUCGUAACAAGGUAGGUGUGUCGGAAGGUGUACCUAGGAGUAA